rnacentral:rRNA from 1 species
ACAGGGAUUGCCUCAGUAGCGGCGAGUGAAGCGGCAAAAGCUCAAAUUUGAAAUCUGGUAGUUCUGCUACCCGAGUUGUAAUUUGUAGAAAACUGUCUUUGUUAGGGUGCCUGUCUAAGUUCCUUGGAACAGGACGUCGCAGAGGGUGAGAAUCCCGUGUGAUGGGUGGCCCGAGCUUUUAAGGCGUUUUCGAAGAGUCGAGUUGUUUGGGAAUGCAGCUCUAAGUGGGUGGUAAAUUCCAUCUAAAGCUAAAUAUUGGCGAGAGACCGAUAGCGAACAAGUACAGUGAUGGAAAGAUGAAAAGAACUUUGAAAAGAGAGUGAAACAGUACGUGAAAUUGUUGAAAGGGAAGGGUAUUUGAUCCGACAUGGGAUUUACUCAUCAUUGCUCCUUGUGGGUGGUGCUCUGGGUUUUUUCUGGGCCAGAAUCAGUUUGUGUGGCAGGAUAAAGGCGUGAGGAAGUAGCUCUUCUGGAGCAAUAUAACUCAUGUUAAUACUGCCUAUGCGGACUGAGGAAUGCGGUUU